CGCGUAGGCGGUAUAUUAGGUCAGAUGUGAAAGCCCGGGGCUUAACCCCGGAAGUGCAUUUGAAACCGGUAUACUUGAGUAUGGGAGAGGGAAGUGGAAUUCCUGGUGUAGAGGUGAAAUUCGUAGAUAUCAGGAGGAACACCGGUGGCGAAGGCGACUUCCUGGCCCAAUACUGACGCUGAGGCGCGAAGGCGUGGGGAGCAAACA
rnacentral:rRNA from 1 species